AAGAAAUGCUGGUGCAGUUUCACCUUCGCUCUCGUUAGUGCUUUCUGUACAUGGAUGGUGCUGUGCACAGUAGAAAGGGCAGAUUCCCAAUGAAAUGCACAAGAAAGCAGCCACUGCGCGCCAUGCCUCACGCAAGGUUGCCUUCUGUGUAGAAAUGAGGAACAUACAAAGGAAUCAUUUCACUGGGGACAAAAAUAUAUACAGCUUUUCAUGUUGCCACAACAUUGCAUUGUGACAGCCGCUCAACGCAGAGGAAAUAGUCUCACCUAAUGAGCACCAGCCAGUGUAAAAUG